GGUCAAGUGAAGAAGCGCAUACGGUGGAUGCCUUGGCAGUCAGAGGCGAUGAAAGACGUGGUAGCCUGCGAAAAGCUUCGGGGAGUCGGCAAACAGACUUUGAUCCGGAGAUGUCUGAAUGGGGGAACCCAGCCAUCAUAAGAUGGUUAUCUUGUACUGAAUACAUAGGUGCAAGAGGCGAACCAGGGGAACUGAAACAUCUAAGUACCCUGAGGAAAAGAAAUCAACCGAGAUUCCCUUAGUAGUGGCGAGCGAACGGGGACUAGCCCUUAAGUGGCUUUGAGAUUAGCGGAACGCUCUGGAAAGUGCGGCCA
rnacentral:rRNA from 1 species